GAGUGCUCCAACUUAGAAUGCUUAUACUUUGUAAUUCCAUGUGUCAGUUUGACUUCAGCACUUUUGUAUAGACCUAAUUCUUAUAAUCCUGAUUUGUUUCGACAGCAGUUAUUACUUGUUAUUGAUGAAAUGGAGAAGCGUCCAGGACAGAAAAUAAUCAUGGGAGACUUUAAUGAAGAUGUUUUUACUUCAUCCACAAUUGUAAAAUUAAUGCAACAACAUGGAUACAGUCAACAGGUACAAACUCCAACUACAGAAAAGGGUACAUUAAUAGACCAUGUGUACACAAAAGACAUUAAAUGUAUACAUGUUGAGGUUGCACAAACCUACUACAGCUUCCAUCAGGCUAUACUUAUGUCACUGUUGUAAUAGUACAUAUAAAUACUCCGCUGGCCAUUGGGGGUGGGAGGUUAGGGAGGAAACAAUCACAGCGGCUCCCUGGGUAAGGGCAUGUAAGGGUAGUGGACACUGGGUGGGAGGUGACAGGGGUUGGUGUAUGACAGUUAUUUAACAGUACUGUUUGUUUCAGCAGUCCUUUGCUUGUUUUAUUUAUUUAUUUACUUUUGUUUGUGUUUUUCUUUGUAAUCUGCUGCGUUUUGCAAGUUUUAGUUCUUAUCACAACCACACCAAUUUUCUACAUUUAUUGCAUUUUAAGCACAGUUCAAGAAUUUUUUAUUUUUUUGUUUUAUACAAGCCAAACAUCAUCUUGUUUAUUUACUUUUAUUUGUGUUUUUCUUUGUAAUCUGCUGCAUUUUGCAAGUUUUAGUUCUUAUCACAACCACACCUAUUUUCUACAUUUAUUGCAUUUUAAGCACAGUUCAAGAUUUUUUUUACUUUUGUUUUAUACAAGCCAAACAUCAUCUUGUUUAUUUACUUUUAUUUGUGUUUUUCUUUGUAAUCUGCUGCGUUUUGCAAGUUUUAUUUUCUACAUUUAUUGCAUUUUAAGCACAGUUCAAGAUUUUUUUAUUUUUGUUUUAUACAAGCCAAACAUCAUCUUGACUUUAUGUACAAAAAUGCUUCUUAACCACUGUUAAACAAUUACAUGUGAGUCUUUGACGUCUAACAAAAAUGAACAGUAAUAUUUCAGACAAUAUUUCAAAGCCACACAUGACUAAAUGACUGAGAUAACUACUGUUGGUGAUUGAAGAAUCGUGCAUUGAAACUUAAGGUUAGUAUUAUUCUUCAUAUUUUUUUAUGAUUCACAUGCUCAGCAUUAAUUUUUUUUAGUGAUUAAUCAUUACUUACUUUUUAUGUUUUAGAAUGUAUAUGCAAAAACCACAGCUCAACCUUUACCUUGUGGUUGAAAAAAAUCGAAUUGUCAUCUUAAAGUUUACAUGAAACAACAACAUCAUCUUUCUUCAACUGAUGUACACCAGAAUACAGCAAGAAGAAGACUGUGCAUCAGAAAUACAUUUACCAUUUUACAUAAAAAACAUGUACUAUGGUGAACACAACACUGCAUCAAGUUAACACUUACCAUUUUACAAACAAUGUACUAUGGUGAACACAACACUACAUCGGGAUGACUUCCUUUUUAAUGUCACUCACAUCAACUGUCGUUACAACACAACGGAUCUACCAAUCAACAUUUAAUCAUCUUCAACAGUACUUAUCUCAGUCAUUUAUUCAUGUGUGGUGAUGGAAUAAGCAUGUACAUUAACACUUAAGGUUAGUAUUUUUUAUUCAGUUUUUUUGUUAUUAAUUAUAUACGUGUUUUCUAUUUUUUUUAAUUACUAAAUAAUCUUUUUAUACUUUUUAUGUUUUAGAAUGUAUAUGAUGACACCACAGCUGAACAUUCAUCUUCUGGUUGACAACAGUCAAUUUUCACAUGUUCUUGUUUAAAUUAAACAAUCACAUCUCAUCAUUUUUCAUCGGAUGUCCACCACACCAAAAUACAAAAAAAAAACCUUGACAUCUGUUAUAAAAUUACCAUGCUACAUAGAGUAAGUGCAUUUUAUUCAUAAUUGUUUAUGUACAAUAAUUUAUAUUUUUCUCUUCAUCAAAGCAAAUAACAACAUUACAAUUUUGAACUUUUUUUGCAGGAAGGUGUGCUAUGGUGGACACAACACUACAUCAGUAUGACACACAGUAGCAUCCUGGUCAUCCCGGCUAUUCCUUUUGAAUAUCCAGAGCUGGUUACAACAGGACAGGACUACCAAGCUUUUCUAUCACAUUGUAAAGAACUAUUUCUUUUACAUUACAAGACAGACAUGAUAUAGCAUAUAUAUGCAGAUACCUUGUUUAUUGUCAUUUAUUUUUUUUUUCUUUAUAAAACAUUGCAGUAUAUGCAGCAUAUACUAUAUACAACAUUCCAACGUAUAUGUUGCAGUUCCAGCUACAUAUACAAUGAGAAUGUAUAUUAAUGUCACGACAAAUACAAUGGGUGUGGUUGUGGAUAUCAAGCAAAGGACUGCUGUAGUUCCUUAAACUUUAUAGUUUACGCCAGGGAUCUCAAAAGUGGGAGCUGUGAACCCCUGGAGUCCCUAAUUGUUUUGCCAGAUAAUCUGUAAAAUAAUCUGUUUUAUAUAAUUGCAUUGCAUUCUUAAGAAGGGCAAUCUAAGUACAAUGUGGGUAUUGCUACUUUUGAUUUUAUUAAAACAUUUAAGAUAAUUUAAACAGUAUAACUGUCAAAUCAAAUGUAAUUUUAACUAAACAAACAUCUAAAUAACCUCUUAAAUUUAAUCACUUUAAUAUAAGUCUAAAAUAUGCUUUAAUGGAAGAAUAUGCUUAGUAACUGUCAUUUUAAGAGGUCUUUGGAAAUUUGUCUCCCUUUUAAGGGGACCAAAGGCACAAAACAUUCAAGAACCCCUUGUUUACACUUACUGAAAAUUGAACCAUAAUCACCAUAUGUCCAAAUAUAUCAUAUCUGUGCAUCAUUUCACCUCUGUAAGAUUGAGUAAUUUUACAUGACACAUGAAUUUAUUCUGUAAUCACUGUAUUAAUUAUUAAACAUUUUAUUAUUAAUGCUUUUUUCAUCCCAGUGUUCUUCUUACCAUUACUUUAUAUUUAUUGCCUGUUUUGUAUACCAGGAACUGAAGGGAACAAUUUUUAAAAUGGCAGACAAAAUAAGUAUUUAAUGAGUAAGAAGGAAAUAUAGUUAUUUACAUAUUUUCCCACCAGUAGGUGGCUCUGAGAUGACACUAUGCAUCAACCCUCAAAUGUGACCUGUGAUGAUAUAAAUCAACCAUCUUAAGCCUACGCUAAAGCUUUACAAAUAUAUAGCCUCAUAUUCAUAUUAAUCUUUACUACACACAUUGUAUAUCUAUUUAGAUAACAUGUAUGCUCCAUGUGAAUUUUUCUUUUGUUACCUUUCUUAUGUAGUAUUACACAUUGUACUUACAUUUCUAUGAUUUCAGUGUUACACUUGACCACUAGUGGAUGAUGGUUUCUAACUCAAAAUUUGACCAAAAGGUGAGACAAUGAAAAAAAGAAAAAAUCUCGUGAUUUUAUGACUGUGAUGACACCCAUCACAUUUGGUGUACAUACAAUAAAGUGAUACAGAGAUAUAGCCUCAAAUGUCUUGACCACUAGGUGGCGCUGUG